UACAGAGACUGCAAGCGUUAUUCGGAUUCACUGGGCGUAAAGAGCGUGUAGGCGGCCAGGUAGGUCGGUUGUGAAAACUGGAGGCUCAACCUUCAGAGGUCGACCGAAACCAUCUGGCUAGAGUCCGGGAGAGGAGAGUGGAAUUCCUGGUGUAGCGGUGAAAUGCGUAGAUAUCUGGAGGAACACCGGUGGCGAAGGCGACAUCCUGGACCGGUAUUGACGCUGG
rnacentral:rRNA from 1 species